CCUGGACAGUAUCAGCAUGCCCAGAGCAGCUGCUUCCUCUGACAGGAUCAUGAAGCAUUAGGAAAAUCACUAGAAGCAUGUCACAGGCUGCAGGAGUCCCAGAUGAUGUGGGAUAUGCCCACAAGGUUACUUAGCCCCCCUGAUGACCGGCAAGCCUCAGAGCCAGUGCCCUACAUGUGUCCUGGAACAGCCCUUCCAGCUGGGCUCCUGACGGUAUAAUUGCUUCAGAGACCCACAGAGGCGAAGGGAAUUGCCCAAGCCCCCAGCAGCACCCAGGGCCCUGCCACCACAGACCACAAAGCAGCUUUCCGGCUCCAAAAAAGCACACAGGCUGAGUGGGGAGAGGAGCAACAACCAGAGCGGCUCAUCGUCCCCACUGAAAUACUUGAUGGCUUGCAGAACUGCCACUUCUUCCAAAAACUCGGUGAGCCCUGGCCGCUCUGCCCCACCCUCUUCCUGGAAGUAGUUGUGGUCAGAGAAGCAAAGAAGUUUCCUCUCUGUCAUCCAUUUCAAAUUGAUACAGGAUGGACAGUUAAAAGGCCCACCUCUCCACUCCAGGAGCGGCCUAUCACCAAUUACCUGUCUCUCAGUUUUCUCCUCUGUAUACUGGGGGCAACACAGUACUCAGGGUCAAGGGCUGCCCCUGUAGGGCUCAAGACCAGGCAUGA
rnacentral:lncRNA from 1 species